UAUACAAAAUUUCAUUUAUUUCUACUAUUAAAAACUGGCGUGACUAACAUAAUAGUUAGACAGUUACACAUGGUGUGCCACAUGUACCUCAUUCUAACAUACAAAGACCAAUUUUUAACAGUUGAAAUGGAUGGAAUUUUUAACA
rfam:Gossypium raimondii Chr08_contig_804, whole genome shotgun sequence.